AUGGGUUUUGAUCGUGCCAACACGGCUAACUGCGUCGCCACUGGCCGCGGACGCACCGUCUGUGUGACCGGCGCCGGCGGUUUCAUCGCGUCAUGGCUGGUGAAGCUCCUCCUGGAGAAGGGCUACACCGUCCACGGCACGGUCCGGAACCCUGAUGACGUGGCAAGGAAUGCCCACCUGGGAGCCUUGGAAGGGGCGGCGGAGCGGCUCACCCUCUUCCGGGUGGACCUGCUGGACAAGGAGAGCCUCAUCGCUGCAUUCCGAGGAUGCGAAGGCGUAUUCCAUACCGCAUGCCCCGUCACCGAUGACCCGGAAAAAAUGAUCGAGCCGGCGGUAAACGGGACGAGAAACGUGAUCAACGCCGCGGCGGAGGUGGGCGGCAUUCGGCGUGUGGUAAUGACGUCGUCGAUCGGCUCCGUGUACAUGGAUCCUCGUCGUAGCACCGAUGGGGAGGCCGACGAGACAUGUUGGAGUGACCUCGAGUUCUGCAAGAACACAAAGAACUGGUACUGCUAUGCAAAGACGGUGGCGGAGCAGGCGGCAUGGGAGCUCGCCAAGGAGAGGAAGCUUGACCUUGUGGUGAUCAACCCGUCUCUAGUGUUGGGCCCUCUACUACAGUCGGCGGUGAACGCCAGCACGUGGCACAUCGGCAAGUACCUUGACGGCUCGGUGCAGACGUACACCAACGCAGCACAGGCAUACGUGCAUGUCCGUGACGUCGCGGACGCGCACGCGCGUGCGUACGAGAUGCCUGACGCGCAUGGCCGGUACCUCUGCGCGGGGCGCACGCUGCACCGCGCCGAGGUGUGUCGUAUCCUCGCCAAGUUCUUCCCGGAGUACCCCGUGCCCAUGAGGAGCAAGGAAGGGGCGGGCGAGAUGAAGAAGGGGUGCCGGUUCAGCAGCCGGAGGAUCAUGGAGCUCGGUGUCAGCAUCACGCCGGCGAGCCAGUGUGUCUACGACACUGUCACCAGCCUUCAGGACAAGGGCAUCUUACCCCGUCGCGACGCUGAUAUGUCCUGA
rnacentral:rRNA from 1 species